rnacentral:rRNA from 1 species
ACUCCUACGGGAGGCAGCAGGGGGGAAUUUUGGACAAUGGGGGCAACCCUGAUCCAGCCAUGCCGCGUGCAGGAUGAAGGCCUUCGGGUUGUAAACUGCUUUUGUACGGAACGAAAAGACUCUGGUUAAUACCUGGGGUCCAUGACGGUACCGUAAGAAUAAGCACCGGCUAACUACGUGCCAGCAGCCGCGGUAAUA